rnacentral:rRNA from 1 species
GACGAACGCUGGCGGCGUGCUUAACACAUGCAAGUCGAACGGAAAGGCCCUGCUUGCAGGGUACUCGAGUGGCGAACGGGUGAGUAACACGUGGGUGAUCUGCCCUGCACUUCGGGAUAAGCCUGGGAAACUGGGUCUAAUACCGGAUAGGAGCCAUUUUUAGUGUGAUGGUUGGAAAGUUUUUUCGGUGUAGGAUGAGCUCGCGGCCUAUCAGCUUGUUGGUGGGGUAAUGGCCUACCAAGGCGGCGACGGGUAGCCGGCCUGAGAGGGUGGACGGCCACAGUGGGACUGAGAUACGGCCCAGACUCCUACGGGAGGCAGCAGUGGGGAAGAUUGAACAAUGGGCGCAAGCCUGAUGCAGAGACGCCGCGUGGGGGAUGACGGCCUUCGGGUUGUAAACUCCUUUCGCUAGGGACGAAGCUUUUUGUGACGGUACCUAGAUAAGAAGCACCGGCUAACUACGUG